rnacentral:rRNA from 1 species
CACGUAGGGAGCAAGCGUUGUCCGGAUUUAUUGGGCGUAAAGAGCUCGUAGGCUGUUCGAUAAGUCGGGUGUGAAACCUCCAGGCUCAACCUGGAGACGCCACCCGAUACUGUCAUGACUAGAGUCCGGUAGGGGAGCGUGGAAUUCCUGGUGUAGCGGUGAAAUGCGCAGAUAUCAGGAGGAACACCGGUGGCGAAGGCGGAUCUCUGGGCCAUUACUGACGCUGAGGAGCGAAAGCGUGGGGAGCGAACAGG